GAAACAAAGAUGGCGCCGACAUCCAGCCUUGUCUGGAUAUAAACGACUUACUGCGCAUGUGCAGGCUUGUCCCCUUGCUAGGGCUCCCUCUAGUGGUGAACAGCGGUACUGCACAUGUGCGGUUUAUUCACCAGGUGUUAGUUGACCGUUAAUAUGCUAAUGAGGUGAUUCAUUCUCCGCCAAUCCCUGGAGGACAAGUAGUGGGGUGAUCCAAGCCCCACCAAUCCCUGAGAGAUAAUUAGCAUACUGCUGUCUAUAUAAGCCGAGCGAUUUUGCUGCUCGGGGUCCCUGUUCAGAAGAGCUGUAACACUGAGAAGAGCUGUAACACUGAGAAGAGCUGUAACACUGAGAAGAGCUGUAACACUGAGAAGAGCUGUAACACUGAGAAGAGCUGUAACACUGAGAAGAGCUGUAACACAGUAAAGGCUUGCUCGCAGAAGAAUCCUGUUGCCGCGCGUCGUUCUUGCUGGCGGGACAUUGGGCGCGCGACAAAGUCCUUUCCUGCAUGAGAGCCAUGAUGUUUACUGCAAUGGAAUUUUCAAUGUGACAUGAGAGAUGCUCACAGCUGAUCAGAGCCAAAGAGCACAUAACUUUAUUUUCAACAUAGUAAGAACUGAAUCUCAUCUGCUGUGUUGGAUUCCAACAUGCUGCUGAGAACCUGGAAUCCUUGGAGAGUCACUAACAAUCAGUCUAUCUGGAUAGAAAGAAAGAAAAAAUAAUAAUCUGGUUCUCAUUGCGAAGAAUUGUGUCAGCAGUGCAAGAGAGGCAGUCGCCAACAAGGAGAGGAAGGAGGAGGUCAGUCAGUUACUGACCCAGUAGCCUGCUGUGGGUCUAUGCACACAGAGUCUGUAUACGAUACCCUGUUCAGAGAGCAAAGAAACAGGAAAGCUGGAGGGAGAUGCAGAGAUCUGCAGAACAAGGUGAAGAAGCAGGCGAGCUGCACAGAAGGACAGGACAGCAAAGGCGCAGCACUGUUCACUGCCAUU